AAGAUAAUAAAAUUGAUUGUGUAGUUUCUAUACAGUCACACGAAAAAUAUUUAAGUAUUUAAAAAGAUAAAUAUUUUUCGCGUGACUGUAUAGAAACUACACAAUCAGAUAGAAUU